CCGGGGAACAGAGUGAAUGUGGAGGCUAUAUACAGGGGGUACCGGGGAACAGAGUGAAUGUGGAGGCUAUAUACAGGGGGUACCGGAACAGAGUCAAUGUGGAGGCUAUAUACAGGGGGUACCGGGACAGAGUCAAUGUGGAGGUUAUAUACAGGUGGUACCAGGGAACAGAGUCAAUAUGGAGGCUAUAUACAGGGGUAACAGGGAACAGAGUCAAUGUGGAGGCUAUAUACAGGGGGUACCAGGGAACAGAGUUAAUGUGGAGGCUAUAUACAGGGGGUACCAGGACAGAGUCAAUGUGGAGGCUAUAUACAGGAGGUAUCGGGACAGAGUCAAUGUGGAGGCUAUAUACAGGGGGUACCAGGGAACAGAGUUAAUGUGCGGGGGCACUGGUUAGUCGUAAUAUGUACAUGUGGGUGG
ensembl:lncRNA